GACGAACGCUGGCGGCGUGCCUAAUACAUGCAAGUUGAGCGCUGAAGGUUGGUACUUGUACCAACUGGAUGAGCAGCGAACGGGGGAGUAACGCGUGGGGAAUCUGCCUUUGAGCGGGGGACAACAUUUGGAAACGAAUGCUAAUACCGCAUAAAAACUUUAAACACAAGUUUUAAGUUUGAAAGAUGCAAUUGCAUCACUCAAAGAUGAUCCCGCGUUGUGUUAGCUAGUUGGUGAGGUAAAGGCUCACCAAGGCGAUGAUACAUAGCCGACCUGAGAGGGUGAUCGGCCACAUUGGGACGGAGACACGGCCCAAACUCCUACGGGAGGCAGCAGGAGGGAAUCUUCGGCGAAGAACGAAAGUCUGACCGAGGAACGCCGCGUGAGUGAAGAAGGGUUUCGGAUCGUAAAACUCUGUUGGUAGAGAAGAACGUUGGUGAGAGUGGAAAGCUCAUCAAGUGACGGUAACUACACAGAAAGGGACGGCUAACUACGUG
rnacentral:rRNA from 1 species